UACGGAGGGUGCGAGCGUUGUCCGGAAUCAUUGGGCGUAAAGGGCGCGUAGGCGGCCUGAUAAGUAGGGGGUGAAAUCCUGCGGCUUAACCGCAGGGCUGCCUUCUAAACUGUCAGGCUAGAGCACAGUAGAGGCAGGUGGAAUUCCCGGUGUAGCGGUGGAAUGCGUAGAGAUCGGGAAGAACAUCAGUGGCGAAGGCGGCCUGCUGGGCUGUUGCUGACGCUGAGGCGCGACAGCGUGGGGAGCAAACAGG
rnacentral:rRNA from 1 species